rnacentral:rRNA from 1 species
CAGGGAAUCUUGCGCAAUGGGCGAAAGCCUGACGCAGCGACGCCGCGUGGGGGAUGAAGGCUCUAGGGUUGUAAACCCCUUUUGCUGGGGAAGAAGAUCUGACGGUACCCAGCGAAUAAGGCCCGGCCAACUACGUGCCAGCAGCCGCGGUAAAACGUAGGGGCCAAGCGUUGUCCGGAAUUAUUGGGCGUAAAGGGUGCGUAGGCGGCCCGGUCAGUCUCGUGUGAAAGCUCCCGGCCCAACCGGGAGAGGUCACGGGAUACUGCCGGGCUUGAGGAUAGCAGAGGAAGGUGGAAUUCCCGGUGUAGCGGUGAUAUGCGUAGAUAUCGGGAGGAACACCUGUGGCGAAAGCGACCUUCUGGGCUAUUUCUGACGCUGAGGCACGAGAGCGUGGGGAGCGAACCGG